GUUCAGGUGUGGUGGAGGGU
rnacentral:misc_RNA from 1 species